CCCGACCAGCUCGCUCUCGUUCUGCCUUAAGACUAGCGAAAACACGCACAGGAUUCUUGGUGAGAUAAGAUUAGAGAGCAAGAUCGAUCGAGAUGGCCGCGCGCAGCAGCUGCAUGGUGGCCGUGCUCGUGCUCCUCCUGUUGGCGCUCCUCGCGUCGCCUCCGCGCGCCGCGGCGGCAAGGGUGCUGCUGCCAGCCGACGUCGUGCCACGCGCCGGCGGCGGCGAGGCGCCGGGCAACGACGAUCAAAUGGAUGGCUCGGCGGCGGCGGCCGGGAGCGGGUUCCGAGGAUCGCCGCCGGGGUUCGGCGGCAGGAGGACGGCGGCGGCUGGCAAUGCCGCGCGGGUGUUGGGGUCCGUCCCGAGCCCCGGGGUCGGCCACUAGCUACCUGCUUUCUCACACGCCUGCGCAUACAGAUUAUUAUCGUCGUCGACAUGAUUUUCAGUAGCCCCGUGUAUGUUGUUGAUGGAUUGGGUUUCCGUGUGUGUUCUUCGAGUGAUUGGAGGUUGAGUACGAUAUAUAGGAAGGAAGUUUUGUAGGUCCAUGCGUGCGCUAGACGGUCGAGCUACUAGCUAGCAGAUGUUGUCGUACGCCACGUCUCGUUUCUACCACUUGUUGCGUCGUCUUUGCUUAGCUUCUUGCUGCUAGGUUGGGAACUUGGGAUGGAUGGUGUUGUUGUCUGCUUGUGCCUGCUUGUACAUAGCAAUUCCAUUCAUUGAUUACUACGUCAGUACCACUUGAUUCAUCACCUUUUGUUCAUACAUGCAUCAGCUCUAAACCAUACAGGGAAGAAUCCGAUUUGAUCCGGAUCCAUCAGUAGCAUGAAUCCGUCUUAAGCUCUCUGUGGUGGAUAAAACCUUGGAACAAGUUGAUUUUCCUUUCUAGUUUUGGAGGUAGUAAGCCGAAAGUGUCUUUUAGAAUUGCAGUAGCGAAAUCAUAGCUAAAGUAGUAUUGUAGUAGUAAACAUUCACCUCUAACUGCCCAAGUUUAUGGACGGUGUGAUAGAACACAAAAAAUGGCCUCUUGUCCCUCUUUUUCCAAAAGCUAGAUUUAAUCUCUUUUUUUUUUUUGUCGCGGAAUGGACCUCAAGUUCGUCUAUUUAUUUAUAUAUGCUGUGAUACAAUUUCUUCUCAUUGUGGACACAUUCUAUACAAGAAAGAACUGAAUCCAAAGAACGAGCUCAAACCUGAAUCCAACGCAUGAAUACCUUAUAUAUGUUCUAAAUUAAAUGGAAAAUUAUGUGUAGAAAUACGUUGGGUAUUAGGGUCAGUUUCCUGUUGUAUUCUACUCCCUCCGUCC
rnacentral:lncRNA from 1 species